CACGUAAUUAGCCGGUGCUUAUUCCUGCCCUACCGUCACCGUCCCGGCAUUUCCUCCGAAACUUAUUCCUCGAACAGAAAAGAACUUUACAACCUUCCGGCCUUCUUCGUUCACGCGGCGUCGCUCCGUCAGGGUUCCCCCCAUUGCGGAAUAUUCUUACCUGCUGCCUCCCGUAGGAGUCUGGGCCGUAUCUCAGUCCCAAUGUGUCCGUCCGCCCUCUCAGGCCGGAUACCCGUCCUCGCCACGGCGGGCACUUACCCCGCCGUCUAGCUGAUGGGCCGCAGACCGUUCCCGACGCGGAGCCGAAGCUCCUUUCCCGCUGUCUACCUCACGUAAACAGUGAUCUAUCCGGUAUUACCCUCUAUUUCUACAGGCUGUCCCAGACAUCGGGGUACUUAUCCACGUGUUACUCACCAGUCCGCCGCUCUCGGCAUUGCUGCCUGCCGCUCGACUUGCAUGGUUAAGCGCGCCGCAGCGUUCGUCUGAGCCAGGAUCAAACUCU
rnacentral:rRNA from 1 species